rnacentral:rRNA from 1 species
CUGGCUCAGGAUGAACGCUAGCGAUAGGCUUAACACGAUGCAAGUCGAGGGGCAGCACGGUGUAGCAAUACACUGGUGGCGACCGGCGUACGGGUGCGUAACACGUAUGCAACCUACCCGCUAUUGGGGGAUAACCCGGCGAAAGUCGGACUAAUACCCCAUAUUAUUCUUACCGGGCAUCCGGUAGGUCUGAAAGAUUUAUCGAUUGCGGAUGGGCAUGCGGAUGAUUAGCUAGUAGGUGGGGUAACGGCUCACCUAGGCGACGAUCAUUAGGGGUUCUGAGAGGAAGGUCCCCCACACUGGAACUGAGACACGGUCCAGACUCCUACGGGAGGCAGCAGUGAGGAAUAUUGGUCAAUGGGCGCUAGCCUGAACCAGCCAAGUCGCGUGAAGGAUUAAACCAGAUCUAUGGUUUGUAAACUUCUUUUGCAGGGGAGUAAAGUGCGACACGUGUGUUGUAUUGCAAGUACCCUGCGAAUAAGCAUCGGCUAACUCCGUGCCAGCCGCGGC